UAGGGUGGAAAACCAUAAGCCAAAUUUUGAUAAUUGUCAUAACACUAUUAUUGUGAACCUUUUCAUAUAUUGUUGAGUAUUGUGGAUUCAUUCUUGUGGUGACAAUCAUACUUCAAGAAACUUGAAGAAAGGAUCAAGAGGUUCAAAAGGAAUCAAGGACAAUUAUCAAAGGUGGUUCAUAAAAUUCCACACAUAUGGAUUCAGGUUAGNNNNNNNNNNNNNNNNNNNNNNNNNNNNNNNNNNNNNNNNNNNNNNNNNNNNNNNNNNNNNNNNNNNUGGAUUCAGGUUAGCUUCCGCUCAUGUAGUUUAUAUAUCCGAAUUAUUCAAUAUGAAGGUUGUUGUCUUUAGUAGGAAUCAUAAUCCUAACAGUUUUUUUUAUAUAAAGCGCUAUAUGUUCUUUCCAAGGCACAAGUAUAAAUUCGUCAGGCUAGUUGUUUUUUGGGAUACUGGAUACUAUAAAAUAAAAAUAAAAAAAUUACUACUCCUAUAUCUUAAGAGUUCGAAAUCAUUAUUGUAGCAGUGCCAUCCUAUAUUCCUAUUUAAAGUCCUAGGAAUAUUAGUUCAAAAUAUUACUACUAUGUAUAAAUGGGAAGAGGGUAUACGAACAUAGCUAUGCCAAGUUGUACAAAAAGUUAUCUGGUAUGUACUUUCGUUAGAAUAUAUAUAUUCGUGUCUCCUUCUUAUUGUGUACCCACCUCCAGAGCCUUCUUUGUGUUCCUCUAUUAUCUUUUUCCUCAUUAUUUCUUUCCAUUUACCCUCCUUAUUCUUGCCGUUUUUCUCCGCCCUCCUGCUCAAGAAUCACAAAUUUCUAGGUGACUUGGCACAUUUCUUUGGCCAAGGUUCCUAUUGAUUUUUUUCUCUUUUUUUUUAUUUUUAUUUUAACUAUCGAUUUCUUUAUUCUAUUCCAGAGGAUGACAUUCGUAAAUCGAUGUGACCGUUUCCCGUUUAAGAAUUUUUGAAGUCACCCAGUUUAGUGUCUCUAAGAGUAAAUUAGUAACCGUCUAAAAAACUAAUAUCAUUAUUUCGACAAUUAUUAUUGUAAUAAAAGAGGUUAAGGAAAUGUGUCUUCCAACUGCCGUAACUUUUUAAUGUCUUAAUUUCAAUUGUAACUCAUCUCUUAUGACUACUAUUUUUACCAAGAAGUUGUUCUUUCUUCCAGAAUAUAUAUCUUUUCCUUGGGUAAUUCUACAUUACAAGGUGAAAAUUAUUUCUCCAUUUUAUUGAUGCUUUUGUUGAAGAUUAAGUAAUUGCUCAAUCAAAUGUCGACUUUUGUGAUAUAGGUCUCGACUGAUCUCCCUCUCUUUCUCUUGUUAACUACAUUCUUCAUAAGCACUUAUAACACUACUUUCAAGUUAUAUGCUAAAGGCAAGUUUUCUGUUCAUAUAGCUUCUUAAGAUGUCUUUAAAUCUUUUUUUUAAUGACAGUAUAUAUAUAUUUCUUGAUUCCUGUUUGAUUUUAGGUUGAUGGCAUAAAAAAUUCAUCUUUUAAUUAUUUUUGUUUGGCCCGUUGGAAUCCAGCUAUUAAACUCUGAAAGAAAGAUAAAUACCAGUUUAAUUACUUGGUUCUUUGAUAAUAAAUAUUUUUAGGCCGUUCACUUAACACUGCAGUACUUUUUUUUGGUGCACAAUGCAGUACUUUUGGAUAGCACUACUUUCAGAAAUGAACAUACUUUUGAAGCUAAAAAUCUUUAUUUUUAUAGAUGUUUUAAAAGCUUUUUGUUUGUUAAUUUUUUUGUUUUUUUUUAAUAAGUAGAGCCAAAUUAAGGGAGGAGAUUUUUACAACGGAAUGCGAUUAUCAACAUUGUCAGCCGCAUUCGGUGUUGUAAAAUUCUAAAAUGAUGUGAUUUUUGUUUUAGAAAAAAGAAGCAAAAACAGAUGGGAAAGGAGGAGGAGAAAAAUUGUUUGAAUCCUUGUAAAAGAAUUUGCAACUCUGCUUUUAGUUUGGUUUUUCCUUUUUUUAUUAUUGUAUUAUCAGAAAGGAAGAUUAUUUAUUUUUGACUAAGAAUUAAAAAACAUAGUCCAAAGGAGUAUUAAGAUAAGGGUUAAUAUUAUGUGCUUUUACCAUCUAAUAAGAUAAACAAUAUAAAUACACAUUUAUAUAGUACACUUAAAGAAUCGCGCAUUAGGACCACUAUAUAAAGCUGAAAAUUUUCCUUUAAAGUUGUUUUUUCUGUUUUUUUGCUUCAUUUUCAAAGAAAUUUUUAUAAUGAAAUCAGGUCAUCUAAGCUCUAAUUCUAAUAAAAAUAUUUUAAUUUGUAAUAUCACCGAGACAUAGAACUUUUAGUUGUAUGGAUAUACAUAAAAAAAAUCUCUUUUAUCUUGAUUAAAUUGUGAGAAAAUUAUUUUAAAAUUCUUUAGUGUUUCACAACUGCGCUAUGCGCGAGUUACUUUACUAGUUUACUAAUGUAUUACAAGCAUUUCCCUUUCUGGUAAAGCUUUGAAAUUACCCCUAAGGUCAAAAGGCAAGGUGAAAUUUCCAACUCUAAACACACGGUUGGGUUCGGCACCAAUCUAUGAUUUAUAGAAUUUUCUCCUAAAAAUUGUGCGGGACACUUUAUUUGAUCGCUCUCGUUUAAUUUAUAUUUAUUAUUUUAAAACUUUUUAAUUUAUAUUCACUUUUUAAAUAACUUCAUCCCCUUCCUCCCUCAUCUUCUCCUCCGUCGUUUUCUUCUUCUGUUGUUGUUGGUGCUGCUAUGGAACUUCAGUUCGUGGGAUGAUUGCCAUAAAUAUGUUUAUGGAACUAUUUAAAAAUAAAUUAUAAACAUUUAUGUAAGUUAGUAGACAACAAUUUAUGAAUAUUUCCACGUACAUAGUUAGUAGAAAAUGAUAAUUGUGUUCUUUUCACGUUUAUUGUUUCCAAAAUUUAUGAUUUAGAUUGUUGGUAAUAUGAGUAUUUGUCUAGUAUGUUAGAAAACUUUUUCAAAAACUUCAGCUUAUGUAGUGCUGAAAUUUUUACAAAUGUACUAAAUAACUUCAGCAUCUUUUGCUGAAGUUUUUGAAAAAGCUUUACGACAAAACUAAUGAGUCCAGGAAAAAAACUUCAGCUUUUAAUGCUAAAAUUUUUGUAAAUGAACUAAAUAACUUCAGCAUCUUCUGUUGAAGUUUUUGAAAAAGUUUAUCCAGGACAAAAAAAACUUCAGCACUGAAUAAGCUGAAGUUUUUAUAAAUGAAUUCAAUAACUUAAGCAUCUUUUGUUGAAAUUUUUGAAAAAGCUUUAUGACGCUUAAGUUCAGCAAUUACAAACAAAAACUUCAGCAAAUAGAGAACAAAACUUCAACUAUUAUGCUUAAGUUCAGCAAGUACAAACAAAAACUUCAGCACACUUGUUACUUUAGGUCCCUCAACUAGAAUGCCAAAGUUUUACGAGAUUGCCUUUGUUACUUUAGCACACUUGCUAUUUUAGGCCUCUUUACUAGAAUGCUGAAGUUUUGCGUGAUAUCCUUUGUUACUUCAGCUCCGUAUGCUGAAGCUACGCAAAAAAAUAGGUACACUUGCUAUUUUUUUUUUGCAAAAUAAAUACAAAUUAAAACGUGACCCUAAAAUAGGUAUGAAUGCAAAUCCCCCACUUCUAUCGGUUUGACAUUUUAAACAAAUAAUAUUAUCCUGGUAUUGUAUUGUUGGAGACUUGUCGAAACUCGAAAGCGACUUCCUUAUCUAUAUAAUUUUAAUUAUUCCACUAGCUUUUGAUAAAUGUAGACCAUUUACUUUGUUCAAUUAAAUAUUUGCUAAAAAACAUCGACAAGACCACAUUCAUUUCCCGUCUCAAUCCAUCCAAGUAGGCUUAUUUGGAGUUUUUAGAUUCUUGAAAAACUCGAAACAUAACAACCAAAGAAAUGGUCUUUAAGUCCUUGUUAAAUUCCCCAAAUCAUCUUAUUUGAUAAUAGUAGGACCUUGUCAAAUAGGUUCUUAGAUUUUAACAAAUAAGAAUUUUCUCCAGCAAGUAGGCGCUGAAAAAAAUUUAAGAUAUAUUUCUAAGAUAUUCGUACCAUUAACUACACCAAUUAUUAAUGAAAGUGAUGAAAUGAUAAAGACUUCUUCUAUCCUUAAUUAAAUAUUUCAAUUUUGAGUUUUCCGAAUUGAGUUCUUUUUAAUAGAAAACCCUUAAAACCUUCAUAAUGGACCUUCUAAAUCACAAAUUUAAAUUAGUCAAAGUUCCCGUCAAAAAUUAUAAAUAAAAAAAAAACUAUGAGAUACUCGUGAAAACUUCCUUUAUUCUUUUAUUUCCAACCGUCCAAGAUGGUGUUUAAUCAAUCAUCAAACUCCUUUGCUUUGGGGGAAUACAUACCAUUGCUUUCACGCAUUUUACUCUACGAAAAAAGAAGCAUAUGAGUACUAUUUUUUACACGAUAAGAAGUUUGAAGAUUCUUCUCUCACUACUCCUACAGUUUGCCAAUAUUGGCCCCAUAACAUCAUGGACUAUAUAUAUAUCAUAGACAAAAUGAAGUUUAUACACAACAUUAAGUGUUAUAUAUAUAUAUAUAUAUAUANNNNNNNNNNNNNNNNNNNNNNNNNNNNNNNNNNNNNNNNNNNNNNNNNNNNNNNNNNNNNNNNNNNNNNNNNNNNNNNNNNNNNNNNNNNNNNNNNNNNNNNNNNNNNNNNNNNNNNNNNNNNNNNNNNNNNNNNNNNNNNNNNNNNNNNNNNNNNNNNNNNNNNNNNNNNNNNNNNNNNNNNNNNNNNNNNNNNNNNNNNNNNNNNNNNNNNNNNNNNNNNNNNNNNNNNNNNNNNNNNNNNNNNNNNNNNNNNNNNNNNNNNNNNNNNNNNNNNNNNNNNNNNUAUAUAUAUAUAUAUAUAUAUAUAUAUAUUUAAACAAACAACAUGAAGUAUUGCUAAUAUAUAAGAAACCAUCUAUUGUUAGUUUCAACUUGUUUGAGAGAUGAAAUUAAUAUUUCUUUACUCAUAACGUGCUAAACAAAAAGUAUUCAAAGUCAAAAGAAGGUAGAACUUUGCCAUAGUAUUAUGGUCGAAUGGUCCAAGCAAGGUUUCAGCAGAAAAACAUUGAAGGAGAAGAGAGUAAUGAAAGAGAAGGACGAGAAUAAAUUGGUCAAAGGGCAAAAGUUUAAUUAUUAAGGGAAAGAAAAGGAUUCAAAAAUCGAAUAUGGCAGUUAACCAUAUUUGCACAACUAUAACCAUUUAGCCCAUACGAGGAAGCGGUCUAUCAUUCUUCUUUCUAGUAAAGGAACUUCUAUAAGCAAAUACAUACAUACAUAUUGGGUAAACUGAAAGCAGUACUUGUGCAGGAGAGAAGAAGAGGAAGUACUUGCAGCUUUGUUUUUUGUCUGAAAAAUAAUAGGUUUGUCUUAGCCAUGGAGACUUCUCAAGGUCUUUAAGUAGUUAGUAGAGGACUUCAAUUUCUGGCUAAAUGCCAUAUCCUUUGUAAUCUUCCAAUUUGGUCCUAAGAUUCAUCACCUGCUAUCAACAAAAAGGCAGGAAAUAUCUAAAAUAUGAUGCAAGUGCUAGAUUUAACCUUCAAUAGAAGACAAAAAGACAUAAAUUUAGACUACUGGUAUUUUCAGUUUUAGACAGUUAGGGGAACCUGUGUUAUGCUUCUAAAACUACAUGGACACGAGACAAAUAUAGAAAUAUGUAUGUGAUACUGGAAUUGUAUUUUGGGGGUAUUGGAAUAUAUAUCUAAGUGUAUAAGAUAUGGGGAUCAAAAUGUACAUAGUAGAAGUUAAAGGGUGUUAGAGUUAUUUUAGUUAGUUAGUAACUAAUUGUUAGUUAAGACGUGUACAUAGUCGGUGUGAGCACGUGAUUUUUAUCUCGUUUGACAUGUUCCCAUAUAAUACACUAUAUUAGGAUUUUUCUUUUAUUAUUUGACUUUUUAGGAAUUAAUUGUGUGAUUUUGUACUUAUUUGUAUUUUUCUAUUAUUAUUUGAAUUUUUAGGAUUCGUUUGCAUGAUUUUAGGAAUUAAUUGCAUAAUUUUGUGUUUAUUUGCAUGUCGCAUGUUUUAAUUUGCAUAAUUCAUAAAAAUAUAAAAUGACAUGGUUGCACUUAGGAUUUAAUAUUUGCAUGUUUAGUUAAUAUUGAAAAUGAAAAGGAAAAAUAAAUAAAUCGGCUAAUUCUUCUUUCAAAACUAGAAUUUAAGAGUUUAUUUAGUUUAUUUCUUGAUUGAACAUGUUUUUGGCUAUUUUUACUUCUAUUUUUAUAAUUAAAAAAGAUCUGAAAAAAAUAAUAAUAAAGCAAAUAUACAAAAAGGGAGUAAUUAUUUGUAUAUAUGCUGGACCUUGACUUUGGGCCAUUUUCUUGUCAUAAAUCCAGCCCAAGUAGCCAAACCCCACUCAAACAGACCCAAAUCCAGCCCCUUGCCCGGUCCAAAAACCACAGGCGCCUAAAACGACGUUGUUUUGACCAAUGCAUUUGAGCUGUUGAUCAUCCUUGAUCAAACGGUCAAGAUGCAUGGUCAACUCCCCGAUAUAUAUGUCGAACUAACCUCCCCCCAAUCAACCUAACCUCGUACCAUGUCUAACAAGCCCUAAAUUAGCCGGUGUAACGCCAUCGUACCUCCGCCAUGUCUCCACCGUCCGCCGCCGCCGGCGUAACUCCAAUGGCCUCCAAAAUUACACCCCGCAAUCCCUCACUUCCCUCUUUCCAACUCUCCUAAGAUCGCCUCUCGAAACUAGCAUGAACUCGUCGAAUAUCCGUCUGAAGCCUGCAGCUCCGCCGUCCACGGCGGCGACUGGUUGCAAUUGGCUUCCAAAACAACACCAUACACUCCCCUCGCUCCCCUCUUUCCAAUCCCAUUAUCAGGCACCCUCGAAUACGGCCCCAACUCUUCGAAUAUCCACUAGAACUGGGCAACCCCACCAUGCACGACAGUGACCAAACUCCAAUGGGUUCCAAAUCAUCACCUCCCACUCUUCUGACCCUCCUCACACCCCUCAACCCAAAUCCAUGACCCAUGGCUCUCGAACCACGAUCAUUGUGGUUGAUUGUCAAAACUAACCAGAACCAGUGUGAUGUUGCAUGCGGUUGCUGAAGCCCAAAAAUUAAGCUAAGUCAUUUUACCCUGUUAAUUUUAGUAUAGUGUCUUUGUAGAGGUCCGUUCCUGUUGUUUAAUACAUUUUAGUGUUCAUGUCCUCAUCUCCUUCUCUUUUCUGUUUAAUACACGGUCAAUUUGAAAAAGAUUAUAGUGCAGGGAGCGUAGUGAUUGAUAUCUUCUUCUCUUGAAUAUAUUUCAUGAUUGGUUUAAUUUUGGCUGACACUGUUAAUUUAAACAUGUUUAUAAAAUUGAUUAAGUGUUUUGACUCUGAUUUCUUAUCUUUUGGUUCCUAGGGGUAAAUGCAUACGAUUAUCGAUAUUUCUUUUCCUGAAUAUACUUUAUCUUGGUUCAAUCUCGGCUGACCCUGUUAAUUUGAGCAUGUUGCAAGUAUUUUUUCUUUGACUCUAAGUUCUUAUCUCUGGAUCUUUGGAUAAAUAUACAUGUUCAUCGAUGUGUUCAUCUCCUGAAUGUUUUUAUUUUGGUUCAUUGUUUCCAUUAGUGGUUGAUUGAUUUAGUUUGGGUUUUCUAAGUGAAAAGCAACCUGCAUUUAUGCUUUGAUUUGGUUUGGUUCUGUCAAUUUAAUCUUGUUAUCUGCCUUGGUUAGACAUUGGUGCUGCACAGUUUUGGUUAAUUUGGAUUUGUGUCAACUAAUUCUGACAUUUAGGUAAUUAGGGGUUUGUGGUUCAGGUUUUAGGUCAUCUGAUUAUAGUUAAUUCGACUAGGGUAAGGUUGGGCUAAGGCUAGUAAUUACCGGAACAACACAAGGGCAAUUCAGGUUUUGUGACAAAGAAUCUUUGGUAGUUAAGUGAAGAAACUUCUGGAAUAUGGGGUAAUUGCAGUUCAGAUUUUUAUUGAGAUAAAUUGGGUAGCAAGCUAGGGAAUGAGGGACUAAAGUAGUAAAUAAAUAGGGACUAAAAGACAAUUCAAAAUCUGAAGGUAGCCCUAUCAGUGAGGAUAUAUAUACUACGUAGCAAGCUAGGAAAUGGUGGACUAAAGUAGCAAAUAAAUAGGGACUAAAAGGCAAUUCAAAAUCUGAAGGUAGCCCUAUCAGUGAGGAUAUAUAUAGUAGUGCUAAGUUGAAAAGGGGGUUGAAAAAAAUAUAUAGAAAAAGUGAGCUAAAAAGAUAAAAAAUGGUUGAAAAUCAAGUAGCUACCGAUUCAAGCGAGUCUCUGAGCUUGAACUUCAUAAAUUCUGAUCUAAAACUAGCUCUGAAUCCUAUUUAUUAUCAUGGAUUAAAGGUUUAUUGUUGGUUUGUUGUUUUGGCUGAGGUUCGAGUUUUGUUUGGUUAUUUUAAAUUGAUAUUGGUUGCGAUUUGCAUUUCUUGGGCUUUGAAAGUGUACUGUUCCAUUUAUUUUGGGUCUAUUCGUUGGUUUUCUCAUUAACUCUGGGGUUUAUUUGUUACUGUUGUUGAUGCUUUGCCUUCUGAAUGCUUGCUCAUAGGUUUCUUCUUCAUUCCAGGUACACUUCUAAGCCUGACCAUGUAAAAAUCAAUUUGAAGAGAGAAUGAAACUGUCUGCACAAAUUAUUUUCCUAUUUGUGAUUCCAACUUCGAG
rnacentral:lncRNA from 1 species